ACUGUAAGUAUCCUGAAGGAACGUUGAAGACGACGACGUUGAUAGGCCGGGUGUGUAAGCGCAGCGAUGCGUUGAGCUAACCGGUACUAAUGAACCGUGAGGCUUAACCUU
rnacentral:rRNA from 1 species